GGAAGAGCUGCGAGCCACGGUAUCUGCACCUCAGUUUCAACAGGCUCUGAGUACAUUCAGUGCUGCACUGGCCUCUGGUCAGCUGGGGCCACUCAUGGGGCAGUUUGGCCUGGGAGAAGAGGUGGCCAACGCAGCUGCACAGGGAGAUGUUGAGGCCUUUGUUCGUGCAAUGCAAAACGCAGAGCAGGGGGGCGAGGGCAAGGAUGAGGGAAGGAAAGAGGAAAAGAUGGACGAAAGCUAAAACUGUGAAGAACAGUUUUGUGCCUGUUUUGGGACAUAUUCCUGAAGAAUUUGCAAAGAUCAGGAACAUAUCAAUAUAUCACUCAAAUUCUAGAAAUUGAUAAAAUUCAGCGACUUACCAAUGUUGCUUUCUCACCCUUAGACUUUUCUUUACUGGAUAUCCAAAAACAUUUACUCAAUAUGAAUAUAUACUAAUAAAUGCUUAAAAAAUUUUAAAGUGAUGCUCCAAAGCUGUGGGCUCAAACAGAUAUUUUUUGAUCGCAAAUGGGGAUUGUUCACGUCAUUUGACUUUUUUAAUUAUUUUGGUUGAUUUUUUAUUUGUUUAUUUAUGUUUAUUUUUGUAAUUUGUGUCAUUGGGAAAUCUGAGCUUAUAAAUGCUAGUAAUCCUAAUUUAAACGCAAUUGUAUUAUUCUGAUGUCACUGAGCACACUCUACUUGACACAUAGAAUUGUCACUGGUGCUUUGAAGAAAAUAUGUUCCAAUAAAAGCCUUGUACUUCUUUUUUGA